GCAGUCGACGGCGCACGGGAGCUUGCUCCUGGUGGCGGGUGGCGAACGGGUGAGUAACGCGUCGGAACGUACCGAGUAAUGGGGGAUAACGCACCGAAAGGUGUGCUAAUACCGCAUACGCCCUGAGGGGGAAAGUGGGGGAUUCGCAAGAACCUCACGUUAUUCGAGCGGCCGACGUCUGAUUGGCUUGUUGGUGGGGUAAUGGCCUACCAAGGCGACGAUCAGUAGCGGGUCUGAGAGGAUGAUCCGCCACACUGGAACUGAGACACGGUCCAGACUCCUACGGGAGGCAGCAGUGGGGAAUUUUGGACAAUGGGGGCAACCCUGAUCCAGCCAUUCCGCGUGAGUGAAGAAGGCCUUCGGGUUGUAAAGCUCUUUCAGCCGGAACGAAACGGUAUGUCUUAAUACGAUGUGCUAAUGACGGUACCGGCAGAAGAAGCACCGGCUAACUCCGUGCCAGCAGCCGCGGUAAUACGGAGGAUCCAAGCGUUAUCCGGAUUUAUUGGGCUUAAAGGGUGCGUAGGCGGCUUAUUAAGUCAGGGGUGAAAGACGGUGGCUCAACCAUCGCAGUGCCUUUGAUACUGAUGAGCUUGAAUACACUAGAGGUAGGCGGAAUGUGACAAGUAGCGGUGAAAUGCAUAGAUAUGUCACAGAACACCAAUUGCGAAGGCAGCUUACUAAGGUGUUAAUGACGCUGAGGCACGAAAGCGUGGGGAUCAAACAGGAUUAGAUACCCUGGUAGA
rnacentral:rRNA from 1 species